UAGAAACCUCUCCAAUAUAUUCUUGUCCGAGCUCUACACUGCCAUUCCAGACUAACGAAAGGUCAGUGGUCUACAAAGCUCUAGUGAUCUCUACCCUUAGCUCUCAUUGAUAUCUAAUCAAGGGUAUUGAUUGCCUAGGCUGAAAUAGUUUUUCAAUGGUUGGGAUGAAGCGGUGGUAAUUUCCUUUCUGUUAGAUAAAGUUCUAAAUUUUUUAAAAUUUGUAAUAAUUAGCUCUGAUAUCCAAUAUCAUCUACGGAAAUACUACAAACUUGUAACGUCAUGUAGUUUGCUAUCGAAUCCUUAAAUCGAGGAUCACCUUGGUGAGAAUUAUAAAAACAUUUAUAAUUUUUUUAUUACCCACCGAGGUUCAAAAUUAUAUUUCGAUGAACCUCACUUCAACUUGUCAGGUAUUUCCUAGGCUCACACAAAAGAUAACACAAGUUCAACCAAUAUCGACCAAUAAAUAAUCUAUCAAAUAGACAAAUAGCUACAAUUAAUGACACGACCCACCCCGAAUUUCACUCUGAAACCCAGAGUAAGUCGUGCGGGGACCACCUCCAAGGAAAAUUUACUGAAAAGAUUAAGAAAAUCUCCCUUGCAGAUGGACAACCCUAACUCGAAAAUUUCAUAUUACACUCUUAAUUUAAUGCUUCUGAAUAUCACAUAAUAUACAAAAUUCUAAAGUAUUCAGAGCUACUAAACACAAGCGGAAGCAAGAAAACACGAGUAGGUUGAACAGGUAACCUACUGCUGAAAACUGGCCGAAAAGCGGGUGACUAUGCCUCGUCUCCUACUAGAUCCAACCCGAACUCUGCAGACUGGGCAAUUUAAAACGAAGGGCCCAGGGGAAAACAUUUAAUAACGUUAGAGUGAGUGGACAAAAAUAAAUUAAUAAUUAAAAUAUUUAUGUUUCCCCUAAUUAAUUUCUAAGGAAAAAUCGAAUGCAUGCCGCAAGCGAUAAAACUUUUAUCCCAUAAAAUAUCGAGCCUCUCAGACUCUAUAAUAUAUGUAUGUAUUUACACUCGUUCAUACUCCCUAUAUAAAUUCAUGGGUCUAUAUAGGGCUACUACGCUCGCGUCCAACGCUCACGUCACGCCUUAAUGCGGUGCUACACUACGCCAUCAAGGUGGACCGGGUCGGCCUUACCAACUAACGCCCAAUUACUAAAGGUUGGACUAGUACGGGUUAGUUACUAAAUUACUUGUGCCCACUACCCCUAUAAUGAAUUAACGACUCAUAGUAGGCUACUACGCUACGUCCAACGCUUACGUCACACCAUAAUGCGGCUAUAUGCUACGCCAUUAAGGUGGACAGACACAUAUGGCUAGCUAGCAUUUUCUAUACAUACUCUCUCAUAAAUACAUAUUUAUAUUCACCGAAAAUCCCAUUUUCGGUAACUCUCUCUCAGAGAAAUAAAAGCGUCAAAAUUAAUUGACGGCAAAAUUCCAACAAAAGGAAAUGUUCAAUCAUGAACCAUAGCAUGCAUAUUAUUUCAAAUAAAAGUCCN
rnacentral:lncRNA from 1 species